rnacentral:misc_RNA from 1 species
CAAAGACACUCUCGGAACAAGCUGCGUGGGCUCUAGCAGUGGACCGUAAGCUGAAAAUGGUGUCAAUUAACGCAGGGCUUGUUCUUGGACCGGCUGUUGCAGAAGAAAAUUCAGGGUCAACAAUCUCAUAUCUUAAAGGAGCUGCUCAGAUGUAUGAAAAUGGGGUGCUGGCAGUGGUUGAUGUGAAGUUUUUGGUGGAUGUCCAUAUCCGAGCAAUGGAAGAUUCGUCCACGGGUGGUCGAUAUUUCUGCUUCGAUCAGAUAGUGAAUAGUGAGGAAGAAACUGUUAAACUUGCGAAUAUAUUGAGGCCAUUGAUAUCUCUUCCACAAAGUUACGAAGUCCAAGGAAG